rnacentral:rRNA from 1 species
CGUGCCAGCAGCCGCGGUAAGACGGAGGAUGCAAGUGUUAUCCGGAAUCACUGGGCGUAAAGCGUCUGUAGGUGGCUUAAUAAGUCAACUGUUAAAUCUUGAAGCUCAACUUCAAAAUCGCAGUCGAAACUAUUAGACUAGAGUAUAGUAGAGGUAAAGGGAAUUUCCAGUGGAGCGGUGAAAUGCGUAGAGAUUGGAAAGAACACCGAUGGCGAAGGCACUUUACUGGGCUAUUACUGACACUCAGAGACGAAAGCUAGGGUAGCAAAUGGGAUUAGAUACCCCAGUAGUCCUAGCCGUAAACAAUGGAUACUAGGUGUUGAACAGAUCGACCUGUGCAGUACCAAAGCUAACGCGUUAAGUAUCCCGCCUGGGAAGUAUGCACGCAAGUGUGAAACUCAAAGGAAUUGACGGGGGCCCGCACAAGCGGUGGAGCAUGUGGUUU